rnacentral:rRNA from 1 species
CCUACGGGUGGCAGCAGUGAGGAAUAUUGGUCAAUGGACGGGAGACUGAACCAGCCAAGCAGCGUGAGGGAUGAAGGUACAGAGGAUUGUAAACCUCUUUUGUAAGGGAACAAAGGCGGGGACGUGUACCGGGAUGAGUGUACCAGAAGAAAAAGGAUCGGCUAACUCCGUGCCAGCAGCCGCGGUAAUACGGAGGAUCCAAGCGUUAUCCGGAUUUAUUGGGGUUAAAGGGAGCGUAGGCGGAUUCUUAAGUUAGUUGUGAAAUGUCCCGGCUCAACCCGGGAACUGCCUCUGAUACUGUGUGUCUUGAGUGUAGCUGCGGUAGGCGGAAUGUAUGGUGUAGCGGUGACAUGCUUAGAUAUCAUGCAGCACUCCGAUUGCGAAGGCAGCUUACCAAUCUAUAUCUGACGUUGAUGCUCG